rnacentral:lncRNA from 1 species
GCAGGUUGCAGCUGCUGCUUCCCUACCUUCCUCUGCAGACCCACUGGAAAUCUCCAUGUCCUCCUGUCACCUCUUCUCUUGCUACACCAUAGGCCAUGAAACUUUCAAAAUGUUAAAGUUGUACUGUGUUCCAGUAUGAGGAAUACACUGCAGGAAAGUGCUUUUGGAAAGAAGACCUCUGAAAAUCUUUUUCUUAAUAUGGAACUGGGGAAACUACCCCAAGAUUUGCAACAAUCUGAAGCAUUUUACUCAAGAAAAUGGCUGACUCUUGUUGCUUCCACCUUUGGGCCGUUAUGAGUAAUGCUGCAGUGAACACCAGCACACAGACAUAAAGAGAUAAUAUAUCCAAAAAUUCUCAAGGAAAAGGAAGAGAUCAAAUGUUAAGAUGAGAACUUCAUGUUUUAGAGGUAAGUUAGAAGUUUGGAAUGGAUGUCUGUGCCUUCAGACAGAGUUCCUGGAAAUUGGAAAGACUGGGAAGACACACAGAAAAAAAUCUGCUCCAGCAAACAUGUCUUUGCUAUUCAGUAUGAUCACCAUCACCUGUUUUCAUUAUUAUUUAAACAGAAUGGAAAUCAUCAGAUAAUUACUGAAGUAAAGAUGGGUGUAUUUUAAACUGUUCAUUGUCGUUAUUGUCAAUAUCAACACCAUAAUCAUUACUUUCAUCAAUCUUUACUUUAAAAAUAUGUACAAUUGAUAGCCUUUUUUUU